rnacentral:lncRNA from 1 species
AUGGUGGAGGGGGCCUAAAGGGAGAGAGGGAAGAGGGAAGGAGGGAUAACGUAGGAAAGAGAUCUCCCUCCUCCUUCCACCCUGGUCUCCCUUCCCCUCCCCUCUCCUUCCUCCAGCAGAGGGUGGAAUCUCCCGACGUUGUGGGAGCCGGCGGUCGGAGAGGGGCUCGCCUCUUGUUGUUCCCCUCAACAUUCUGCAGAAUGGGUAGUCAAACCUGCCCUGACACCUGGACGUCUGCAUGAGGGGUGGUCACUGAAGGAGGAGUUGUCAGAGGCCAUAGGAGCUAAAGAGUCUGUGCAGAUGAGCUCUGGAGUCCCAGACUUAUGAAAUCCUCCAGUUCAUAGCUAUUUCCCCCUCAAGCUUGCCCUUCAGGAGCUUGUCCAGAAAAAAACCUGUUUCAGGUAGUUUUACAUAAGAAUUAUUUGCAUUUAAAUAUGAAACAGUCAUGAAAACAGUUGCUGUCUCUUCAAAUAAUAAACAAAUGGUAUUUUAAAAAUACA